GACGAACGCUGGCGGCGUGCCUAAUACAUGCAAGUUGAGCGCUGAAGGUUGGUACUUGUACCAACUGGAUGAGCAGCGAACGGGUGAGUAACGCGUGGGGAAUCUGCCUUUGAGCGGGGGACAACAUUUGGAAACGAAUGCUAAUACCGCAUAAAAACUUUAAACACAAGUUUUAAGUUUGAAAGAUGCAUUUGCUUCCCUAAAAGAUGAUCCCGCGUUGUAUUAGUUAGUUGGUGAGGUAAAGGCUCACCAAGGCGAUGAUACAUAGCCGGCCUGAGAGGGUGAUCGGCCACAUUGGGACUGAGACACGGCCCAAACUCCUACGGGAGGCAGCAGUAGGGAAUCUUCGGCAAUGGACGAAAGUCUGACCGAGCAACGCCGCGUGAGUGAAGAAGGUUUUCGGAUCGUAAAACUCUGUUGGUAGAGAAGAACGUUGGUGAGAGUGGAAAGCUCAUCAAGUGACGGUAACUACCCAGAAAGGGACGGCUAACUACGUG
rnacentral:rRNA from 1 species